UACGUAGGUGACCAGCGUUGUCCGGAUUUACUGGGCGUAAAGAGCGCGCAGGCGGUCGUUCAAGUCGAGUGUGAAAGCCCCCAGCUCAACUGGGGAGGGUCACUCGAUACUGAUCGACUUGAAGGCAGGAGAGGGAAGCGGAAUUCCCGGUGUAGUGGUGAAAUGCGUAGAUAUCGGGAGGAACACCAGUGGCGAAGGCGGCUUCCUGGCCUGUUCUUGA
rnacentral:rRNA from 1 species